CAACAGUCUCCACUGAGCCGACACUUGUGCCGCACAGCUGAGAACAUCAGUUCAAUUUCUUUAUUUCUCUGUGCCUCCAAUGAGCCUAGUAUCAGACAAUUGAAAAGCCCAAGUGUUGUGAUUCAUUAGUUCUAUAUACUUAACCAGCUGUUAAGAGACACGGUUUUUUUUAUAGCUGAUCACCUCGUCGCAGCUGGCCAAAUUCACGUCAAACUGAAGCAGUCCAGGUGAACGAGCCUGCGUCGUGAACCAAGAUCAGUGUAUAUGUGUUUGGCUUGCCCUAUUUGAUAGUUGGUGUCAGUGUCCAUAUACUACGAACGAGUACGUACAACUGGCUGUAUAUGAUUGGGCAAAGAUGAAGGACCUAAAUGCCCUUCUCCGUGAAAGACGUAUGGUUCCAAUAUCUCUGACGUUAUCAAGAUAAAAUAUAUUUUCUUUUCUUUUCGAGAUGUCAUCAGAUUUUGUGCUAAAUUGUUUGCUUCUUCGGUUACGUUUCCAUAUGUACAAUUGCGCGGUUGCCUCUUUUAUGAAACGUAUAUAGGGGGCAGUUGAAUGGUUUUGGCUUUCAAUACUUCCGUCAUUUCAUCAGUGUAUAUUAGUAAAUCAUCCCAUUUUCUUGGUUUAUUACGGGUGCGUCGUAUAGGUUGUAGGUCAUAAAUAUUAAGUAAUACAAAAAAAAAUAAAUAAAAAAUGAUUUGAUAUUACCCGUCACUUGUCAACGCAGUCAAAAGGCCCGGCCAUAAAACCGCAAGUUUAUUUUUUACGACAACCAUUUUCUUUUGCUUGUCUUUUGUUCUGUACUUUAUAUAUAAGACAAUCGCUUUAAAUGAUUCUCAUUCUUUCUGCUGAUGCUGGCCCCCUUUUUUUUCCACAUGGGCGAAUCCACUUGAACGCCACGAAAAUCGUUUUCGUUCACCCCGUCUCUCUUUUUUUUUUAGUUUUUGAAGUGUAGAGUUGGCCCUCCCUAUAUCUGUUUGCCAUGACUGGCUCGUAUAAUGCAAAUAUAUAUAUAGGGGGCAAGAAAGAAUACAGAUUCCAUGUUAUUCAUUUGUAUAUAUAGACAGAGAAAUAUAGAACAAGCCAAUAAAA